rnacentral:rRNA from 1 species
GACGAACGCUGGCGGCGUGCUUAACACAUGCAAGUCGAACGGAAAUUCCCUGCUUUUGUGGGUUGCUCGAGUGGCGAACGGGUGAGUAAGACGUGAGUAAUCUGCCCUGGGCUUUGGGAUAACUUCAGGAAACUGGCGCUAAUACCUGAUUGGAGCUCCUGCUGCAUGGUGGGGUUGGAAAGUUUCGGCGGUGGGGGAUUGACUCGCGGCUUAUCAGAUUGUUGGUGGGGUAGUGGCUUACCAAGGCAUUGGCCGGUAGCCGGCCUGAGAGGGUGACCGGCCCCAUCGGGAGUGAGAUGCGGCCCAGACUCCUCCGGGAGGCAGCAGUGGGGAAUAUUGUACUAUGGGCGGAAGCAUACUGCAGCAACGCCGCGUGCGGGGUGACGGCCUUCAGGUCGUAAGCCGCUUUCGCCUGUGACGACGCGUGAGUGACGGUACUGGGUAAAGAAGCACCGGCUAACUACGUG